rnacentral:rRNA from 1 species
AGCGGCGGACGGGUGAGUAACGCGUGGGUAACCUGCUCAUACAGGGGAGUAACAGUUGGAAACGGCUGCUAAUACCGCAUAAGCGCACAGUACCGCAUGGUACCGUGUGAAAAACUACCGGUGGUAUGAGAUGGACCCGCGUCUGAUUAGGUAGUUGGUGGGUAACGGCCUACCAAGCCGACGAUCAGUAGCCGACCUGAGAGGGUGACCGGCCACAUUGGGACUGAGACAUGGCCCAA